ACUGUGAAGUUUACUGGAGAAAAGAGCUCAUUUUCAGUGGUUAGAUGUUUGAUCAGAGUGUGGGAGGUUUUUGUACGGCCACUUAAUGAGUUUGUAUCACUGUGGUACACUUUUGGUGGAGGAACCAAACUCAUCAUUCACUCUGGCCCCAUGGUCAGACCCUCAGUCUCUCUGCUUCAACCCUCCUCUGAGAAGCUCUCUGGAGGCCCAGUCACACUGGCCUGCCUUUUGGCCAGCUACUCUCCUCAGGGAGUUGAAGUGAGAUGGGAGGUAGAUGGCACAGAGGUGGCAGAGGGGGUCCUGAACAGCUUAGAAGAAGAGAAGAGUAGUCGCUACAGCAGCAGCAGCACCCUGAUGCUGAGCCAAGAGAACUGGAUGAACGCAGAGGUGUUCUCCUGCAGGGUGAACCAUCAUGACCACCGGCAGGCCAAGUCCUUCCGCAAGAACCGGUGUGAGGGCUAGAGGGGCUGCUGAAGUCCAGGACAGGAGCUUAGUGUGGGGAAGCAGGAGAUACAUCCCUGCUGCUCUGAUCAAUAUGAGUUUGAAAGUUUG